rnacentral:rRNA from 1 species
UGCGUAGGCGGGCUAACAAGUCAGUGGUGAAAUCUUUCGGCUCAACCGAGAAACUGCCAUUGAUACUGUUAGUCUUGAGUUCGGUUGAGGUAGGCGGAAUGUGUAAUGUAGCGGUGAAAUGCUUAGAUAUUACACAGAACACCAAUUGCGUAGGCAGCUUACUAGACCGACACUGACGCUGAGGCACGAAAGCGUGGGGAGCGAACAGGAUUAGAUACCCUGGUAGUCC